rnacentral:rRNA from 1 species
AGAGACAGCAGUACCACGGUAAUACGUAGGGUGCGAGCGUUAAUCGGAAUUACUGGGCGUAAAGCGUGCGCAGGCGGUUGUGUAAGACAGGUGUGAAAUCCCCGGGCUUAACCUGGGAACUGCGCUUGUGACUGCACAGCUAGAGUAUGGCAGAGGGGGGUGGAAUUCCACGUGUAGCAGUGAAAUGCGUAGAGAUGUGGAGGAACACCGAUGGCGAAGGCAGCCCCCUGGGCCAAUACUGACGCUCAUGCACGAAAGCGUGGGGAGCAAACAGGAUUAGAUACCCCCGUAGUCCCUGUCUCUUAUACA